AUACGGGAGGCAGCAGUGGGGAAUAUUGGACAAUGGGCGCAAGCCUGCAUCCUAGCCAUGCCGCUGUGACGUGAUGACGGCCUUAGGGUUGUAAAGCUCUUUCGCUCGGGACGAUAAUGACGGUACCGAGAUAAGAAGCCCCGGCUAACUUCGUGCCAGCAGCCGCGGUAAUACGAAGGGGGCUAGCGUUGUUCGGAAUUACUGGGCUGUAAAGUCGCGUGUAGGCGGGUCUUUAAGUCAUGGGGUGAAAUGCCAAGGUCAACCUUGGAAACUGCCUUUGAUACUGGGGAUCUUUGAGUCCGGGAGAGGUGAGUGGAACUUGCGAGUGUACAGGUGAAAUUCGGAGAUUUC
rnacentral:rRNA from 1 species